ACGGGUGAGUAACGCGUGGGUAAUCUACCUCGGUCUGGGGGAUAACGCACCGAAAGGUACGCUAAUACCGCAUGACCCGGCAGGUUUUCGGACCUGCCGGAAAAGGUGGCCUCUACAUGUAAGCUACCGAACCGAGAUGAGCCCGCGUCCUAUUAGCUUGUUGGUGGGGUAAAGGCCUACCAAGGCGACGAUGGGUAGCUGGUCUGAGAGGACGGCCAGCCACACUGGAACUGGUACACGGUCCAGACUCCUACGGGAGGCAGCAGUGAGGAAUAUUGCGCAAUGGGGGAAACCCUGACGCAGCGAUGCCGCGUGAGUGAAGAAGGCCUUCGGGUCGUAAAGCUCUGUCAAACGGGAAGAACAGUUUGGGGACGAAUAAUCCUCAGGCCUGACGGUACCGUUGAAGGAAGCACCGGCUAACUCCGUGCCAGCAGCCGCGGUAAGACGGAGGGUGCGAGCGUUAUUCGGAUUUAUUGGGCGUAAAGAGCAUGUAGGCGGUCGGCCAAGUCUGAUGUGAAAGCCCGGGGCUUAACCUCGGAAGGGCGUUGGAAACUGGUCGACUUGAGUUCGGGAGAGGAAAGCGGA
rnacentral:rRNA from 1 species